AGGAGGAGAUUCCUACAGAUAAGAGCCCAGGUGACUGUACUGGGAGCUCGGAGGGACAAUUGAUAUCUACAGAUUAUAAUGCAGAUGAUCCGGGUGUCACAUCAGAUACGUAUGAAGAUUGUGCCAUUAUCCCAGAUGUACCAUCCACUCUUCACAG